GCUCCGUUGGUGAACCAGCGGAGGGAUCAUUACAGGACUCGCAAGACUCCUACAACCCUGUGAACUUAACUACAAGCACGUUGCUUCGGCGGGUGUCUCGGAGGGGGUUCUCCCUCCCCGAGACGCUAAACCCGCCGGCAGCCUACUAUACUCUGUCUCUUUGCGUUGGCAUCUCGAGUACAAUCAAACAAGUUAAAACUUUUAACAACGGAUCUCUUGGUUCUG
rnacentral:misc_RNA from 1 species